rnacentral:rRNA from 1 species
UCAGUUCGGAUCGGAGUCUGCAACCCGAACUCCGUGAAGCUGGAUUCGCUAGUAAUCGCGCAUCAGCCAUGGCGCGGUGAAUACGUUCCCGGGCCUUGUACACACCGCCCGUCAAGCCAUGGGAGCCGGGAGCGCUUGAAGUGCGUCGCCGCGAGGCGCGCCCUAGAGCGAGACCGGUGACUGGGGCUAAGUCGUAACAAGGUAAC